rnacentral:rRNA from 1 species
AUUGAACGCUGGAGGCAGGCCUAACACAUGCAAGUCGAGCGAGCGGCGGACGGGUGAGUAAUGUCUGGGAAACUGCCUGAUGGAGGGGGAUAACUACUGGAAACGGUAGCUAAUACCGCAUACCAUCAGAUGUGCCCAGAUGGGAUUAGCUGGUAGGUGGGGUAAUGGCUCACCUAGGCGACUCUCCCUAGCGGGUCUGAGAGGAGGACCGGAAAAACUGGAAGUGAGACACGGUCCAGACUCCUACGGGAGGCAGCAGUGGGGAAUAUUGCACAAUGGGCGCAAGCCUGAUGCAGCCAUGCCGCGUGUGUGAAGAAGGUCUUCGGAUUGUAAAGCACGUUAAGUUGGGAGGCGUUACCAACAUACUAAGCACCGGCUAACUUCGUGCCAGCAGCCGCGGUAAUAC